UACGAAGGGGGCUAGCGUUGUUCGGAAUUACUGGGCGUAAAGCGCGCGCAGGCGGCUAUCCAAGUCAGUGGUGAAAGCCCGGAGCUCAACUCCGGAACUGCCAUUGAAACUGUUUAGCUUGAGGACGAGAGAGGUGAGUGGAAUUCCCAGUGUAGAGGUGAAAUUCGUAGAUAUUCGCAAGAACACCAGUGGCGAAGGCGGCUCACUGGCCCGGUACUGACGCUGAGGUGCGAAAGCGUGGGGAGCAAACAGG
rnacentral:rRNA from 1 species